GAACUCAGGACCUUGCACUUGCCAGGCAGGAGUAGCACCACUGAGCUAAAUCCUCAACCCUAGAUUCUUCUUUGACAGACUGAAACAGCCCCAGGACAAUAACAAUUGCACCCUCAUUUCCAUCCACUCCAACAACUGCCGCUCUUUCAGGCUGAGUGGAGGAGGUGCUGACCCUGCCUAGCCAGAGACCAAAGUCUCACUUUGACUGCUUUAAAGAAGACACAAGAAUAUAUGUUGUAUGAAGAGCAUUGUAUGAAGAAUAUUAUAUGAAGAACCAUUAUUUUUGAUAAGAGGUCAACCAUCAUCUUGGAAGAG
rnacentral:lncRNA from 1 species